CGAAAGCCUGACGGAGCAACGCCGCGUGUGGGAAGAAGGCUCUUGGGCCGUCAACCACUUUUCUCAGGGAAGAAGACCUGACGGUACCUGAGGAAUCAGCCUCGGCUAACUCCGUGCCAGCAGCCGCGGUAAUACGGAGGAGGCAAGCGUUAUCCGGAAUUAUUGGGCGUAAAGCGUCCGCAGGGGGUCUUCCAAGUCUGCUGUCAAAGCCCGGGGCUCAACCCCGACGCGGCAGUGGAAACUGGGAGGCUAGAGUACGGCAGGGGUAGAGGGAAUUCCCAGUGUAGCGGUGAAAUGCGUAGAUAUUGGGAAGAACACCGGUGGCGAAAGCGCUUUGCUGGACCGAACCUGACGCUGAGGGACGAAAGCUAGGGGAGCG
rnacentral:rRNA from 1 species